UACGUAGGAGGCGAGCGUUGUCCGGAGUUACUGGGCGUAAAGGGUGCGCAGGCGGCCGCGCGCGUGGGUGGUGAAAUCUCCCGGCUCAACUGGGAGGGGGCCAUCCAGACGGCGUGGGUUGAGGCUCGGAGGGGGGCGUGGAAUUCCGGGUGGAGCGGUGAAAUGCGUAGAGAUCCGGAGGAACACCGACGGCGAAGGCGGCAUCCUGGACCAAUUCUGACGCUGAGGAGCGAAAGCCAGGGGAGCAAACGGG
rnacentral:rRNA from 1 species